rnacentral:rRNA from 1 species
CAAUAGCGUAUAUUAAAGUUGUUGCAGUUAAAAAGCUCGUAGUUGGAUUUCUGGUGGGAGCGAUCGGUCUGGCGCUUAGCGCGAGUACUUGCAUCGUCUCCGGCCAUCCUUGGGGAGAGUCUGUCUGGCAUUAAGUUGUCGGGCAGAGGAUCCUCAUCGUUUACUGUGAAAAAAUUAGAGUGUUCAAAGCAGGCUUAUGCCGUUGAAUAUAUUAGCAUGGAAUAAUAAGAUAGGACUUUGGUACUAUUUUGUUGGUUUGCGCACCAAAGUAAUGAUUAAUAGGGACAGUUGGGGGUAUUCGUAUUCCGUUGUCAGAGGUGAAAUUCUUGGAUUUACGGAAGACGAACUGCUGCGAAAGCAUUUACCAAGGAUGUUUUCAUUAA